rnacentral:rRNA from 1 species
CAGUAGCCGCGGUAAUACGUAGGGCGCAAGCGUUGUCCGCAAUUAUUGGGCGUAAAGAGCUCGUAGGCGGUCUGUCGCGUCUGGUGUGAAAUCCCGAGGCUCAACCUCGGGCUUGCAUCGGGUACGGGCAGACUAGAGUGCGGUAGGGGAGACUGGAAUUCCUGGUGUAGCGGUGGAAUGCGCAGAUAUCAGGAGGAACACCGAUGGCGAAGGCAGGUCUCUGGGCCGCAACUGACGCUGAGGAGCGAAAGCAUGGGGAGCGAACAGGAUUAGAUACCCCCGUAGUCCCUGUCUCUUAUAC